UACGGAGGGUGCGAGCGUUAUCGGAAUUACUGGGCGUAAAGGGUGCGUAGGUGGUUUGAUAAGUUAUCUGUGAAAGCCCUGGCUCAACCUGGGAAGGCCAGAUAAGACUGUUAGACUUGAGUAUGGGAGAGGUCAGUGGAAUUCCGAGUGUAGAGGGUGAAAUUCGUAGAUAUUCGGAAGAACACCAGUGGCGAAGGCGGCUGACUGGACAUGUAUUGACGCUGAGGUGCGAAAGCGUGGGGAGCAAACAGG
rnacentral:rRNA from 1 species